GGAAAUAUGUCAUUGUCAUCGAAAAUGCCUUCGUUUUCGAGUACUUCCUCGAGCUUGGAUUGGGCGGGAUAUGGGAUUGGCCCAGCGUUUGUGUUCGUUGUGGAUGCUUGUACAUCGGAUGAGGAGCUGGGGGUGGUGAAAAAUGAGCUUCUUCAUGUGAUUGCUCAAUUGCCUGAAACUGCAUUAGUUGGGUUGGUGGUAUUUGAUUCAAUGGUUAGAGUUUAUGAUCUUGGUUUUGGAGAGUGCUGUAGAGUUGUGAUGUUCCAUGGUGAGCGUGAGCUUUCUUCUGAGCAGACCAAGCAACUCCUGGGUAUUCAUCGUAUGAAGUACCAAGCAGGAAUGGUACAUAUGGCUCCAAAACAGGGAUUCCUGAUACCACUGUCAGAAGGGGAGUUCAGCAUCACAUCAGCAAUCGAAGAUAUCCAUUCUUCACCGCAGGUUAUGCCAGGGCAUAGACCUUUACGGGCUACAGGAGUAGCAGUAUCAGUUGCUGUUGGACUACUAGAAGGAUGCUUGGUCUCUGCAGGUUCGCGUAUCAUGGUCUUCACCUCAGGGCCAGCAACAAUCGGCCCAGGGAUGAUUGUAAACUCUGAUUUUGGCAAUACCAUUAGGAAUCAGCGAGACAUUGGUAAUGGUUAUGCACCAUACU
rnacentral:misc_RNA from 1 species